GACGAACGCUGGCGGCGUGCUUAACACAUGCAAGUCGAUCGGACAGACAGAGAGCUUGCUCUCUUGAAGUUAGUGGCGAACGGGUGAGUAACGCGUAAUCAACCUGCCCUUCAGAGGGGGAUAACAACGGGAAACCGUUGCUAAUACCGCGUACGAUUCAUGAACGGCAUCGUUUAUGAAUGAAAGGUGGCCUCUAUGUAUAAGCUAUCGCUGAAGGAGGGGAUUGCGUCUGAUUAGCUAGUUGGAGGGGUAACGGCCCGCCAAGGCAAUGAUCAGUAUCCGGUCUGAGAGGAUGAACGGCCACAUUGGGACUGAGACACGGCCCAAACUCCUACGGGAGGCAGCAGUGGGGAAUCUUCCGCAAUGGACGAAAGUCUGACGGAGCAACGCCGCGUGAGUGAUGAAGGUCUUCGGAUUGUAAAGCUCUGUUAAUCGGGACGAAAGAGUUCUGCGUGAAUAAUGCAGAAAAGUGACGGUACCGGAAUAGAAAGCCACGGCUAACUACGUGCCAGCCGCCGCGGUAA
rnacentral:rRNA from 1 species